rnacentral:rRNA from 1 species
CAGUCGCCGCGGUAAUACGGAGGGGGCUAGCGUUGUUCGGAAUUACUGGGCGUAAAGCGCACGUAGGCUGCUUUGUAAGUCAGAGGUGAAAGCCCGGGGCUCAACCUGGGGGCUGCGUUUGAUACUUGAUUGCUAGAGUGGGGAAGAGGGUCGUGGAAUUCCCAGCGUAGAGGUGAAAUUCGUAGAUAUGACCCAGAACACCGAUUGCGAAGGCAGGCUACUACGACUUGAUUGACACUGAGGCACGAGAGCAUGGGUAGCGAACAGGAUUAGAUACCCCCGUAGUCCCUGUCUCUUAUAA